rnacentral:rRNA from 2 species
UACGUAGGGACCAAGCGUUGUUCGGAUUUACUGGGCGUAAAGGGCGCGUAGGCGGCAAUUCAAGUCAGUUGUGAAAUCUCCGAGCUUAACUCGGAACGGUCAACUGAUACUGUUUUGCUAGAGUACAGAAGGGGCAAUCGGAAUUCUUGGUGUAGCGGUGAAAUGCGUAGAUAUCAAGAGGAACACCUGAGGUGAAGACGGGUUGCUGGGCUGAUACUGACGCUGAGGCGCGAAAGCUAGGGUAGCAAACGGG